rnacentral:misc_RNA from 1 species
AGCAGCCGCGGUAAUUCCAGCUCCAAUAGCGUAUAUUAAAGUUGCUGCAGUUAAAAGCUCGUAGUUGAAUUUCGGGACUAAUAUGUCGGUCGUGCCUCGGUACGUACUGGCUUAUUGGUUUCUCCUUUCUGAAGAACCAUGAUGUCAUUUAUUUGGUGUCGUGGGGAAUCAGGACUGUUACUUUGAAAAAUUAGAGUGUUUAAAGCAGGCUUUAGCUUGAAUACAUUAGCAUGGAAUAAUGAAAUAGGACGUUCGAACCUAUUUUGUUGGUUUCUAGGAUCAACGUAAUGAUUAAUAGGGAUAGUUGGGGGCAUUAGUAUUCAAUUGUCAGAGGUGAAAUUCUUGGAUUUAUUGAAGACUUAACUACUGCGAAAGCAUUUGCCAAGGAUGUUUUCAUUAAUCAAGAACGAAAGUUAGGGAUCGAAGACGAUCAGAUACCGUCGUAGUCUUAACCAUAAACUAUGCCGACUAGGGAUCGGAUGAUGUUAAUUUUUAAUGUACUCAUUCGGCGCCUUUACGG